rnacentral:lncRNA from 1 species
UGGUGCCUCCGAUCGCCGAAAGACGAUGAGGACUUAAAACUUUUAACUGGUGCCUCCGAUCGCCGAAAGACGAUGAGGACUUAAAACUUUUAACUGGUGCCUCCGAUCGCCGAAAGACGAUGAGGACUUAAAACUUUUUAGAAAGCAUGCAACAUAUCUUUAACUUGCCUUAAGCCACAUACAAGUGACAAGGUCUUUCUUCAAAACUUUCUGAAAACAACAGGCACGCAAUCUAAA